UACGUAGGGUGCAAGCGUUGUCCGGAAUUAUUGGGCAUAAAGAGCUCGUAGGCGGUCUGUCACGUCUGCUGUGAAAACUCGGGGCUUAACCCCGGGCCUGCAGUGGGUACGGGCAGACUAGAGUGCGGUAGGGGAGACUGGAAUUCCUGGUGUAGCGGUGAAAUGCGCAGAUAUCAGGAGGAACACCGGUGGCGAAGGCGGGUCUCUAGUACGGUACUGACGCUGAGACGCGAAAGCGUGGGGAGCGAACAGG
rnacentral:rRNA from 1 species